AGACCCGAAACCCGGUGAUCUAGCCAUGGGCAGGUUGAAGGUUGGGUAACACUAACUGGAGGACCGAACCGACUAAUGUUGAAAAAUUAGCGGAUGACCUGUGGCUGGGGGUGAAAGGCCAAUCAAACCGGGAGAUAGCUGGUUCUCCCCGAAAGCUAUUUAGGUAGCGCCUCGUGAAUUCAUCUCCGGGGGUAGAGCACUGUUUCGGCUAGGGGGCCAUCCCGGCUUACCAACCCGAUGCAAACUGCGAAUACCGGAGAAUGUUAUCACGGGAGACACACGGCGGGUGCUAACGUCCGUCGUGAAGAGGGAAACAACCCAGACCGCCAGCUAAGGUCCCAAAGUCAUGGUUAAGUGGGAAACGAUGUGGGAAGGCCCAGACAGCCAGGAUGUUGGCUUAGAAGCAGCCAUCAUUUAAAGAAAGCGUAAUAGCUCACUGGUCGAGUCGGCCUGCGCGGAAGAUGUAACGGGGCUAAACCAUGCACCGAAGCUGCGGCAGCGACACUCAGGUGUUGUUGGGUAGGGGAGCGUUCUGUAAGUCUGCGAAGGUGGCCUGUGAGGGUUGCUGGAGGUAUCAGAAGUGCGAAUGCUGACAUAAGUAACGAUAAAGCGGGUGAAAAGCCCGCUCGCCGGAAGACCAAGGGUUCCUGUCCAACGUUAAUCGGGGCAGGGUGAGUCGACCCCUAAGGCGAGGCCGAAAGGCGUAGUCGAUGGGAAACGGGUUAAUAUUCCCGUACUUGGUGUUACUGCGAAGGGGGGACGGAGAAGGCUAUGUUGGCCGGGCGACGGUUGUCCCGGUUUAAGCGUGUAGGUGUGUGUUCCAGGUAAAUCCGGUUCACUUUAACACUGAGGCGUGACGACGAGGCACUACGGUGCUGAAGCAACAAAUGCCCUGCUUCCAGGAAAAGCCUCUAAGCAUCAGGUAACAUCAAAUCGUACCCCAAACCGACACAGGUGGUCAGGUAGAGAAUACCAAGGCGCUUGAGAGAACUCGGGUGAAGGAACUAGGCAAAAUGGUGCCGUAACUUCGGGAGAAGGCACGCUGACACGUAGGUGAAGUGAUUUACUC
rnacentral:rRNA from 1 species